UCGUGGAGCUCCGGCUCCUUCGAGGGAGAACCCUUGCCUUUUCGAGCACCUGUUUGUUUCCUCGGCAGGCCCGCCUGCCAAUGGGGACCCCUUUAAACUCUCGCAAUAACCUGUAUGAGAUCGUCUGAACAAAACAAACAAAUCA
rnacentral:misc_RNA from 1 species